rnacentral:rRNA from 1 species
AUACGUAGGGUGCGAGCGUUGUCCGGAAUUACUGGGCGUAAAGAGCUCGUAGGUGGUUCGUCGCGUCGUCUGUGAAAUUCCGGGGCUUGACUCCGGGCGUGCAGGCGAUACGGGCAUAACUUGAGUACUGUAGGGGAGACUGGAAUUCCUGGUGUAGCGGUGAAAUGCGCAGAUAUCAGGAGGAACACCGGUGGCGAAGGCGGGUCUCUGGGCAGUAACUGACGCUGAGGAGCGAAAGCAUGGGUAGCGAACAGGAUUAGAUACCCUGGUAGUCCAUGCCGUAAACGGUGGGCGCUAGGUGUAGGGGUCUUCCACGACUUCUGUGCCGUAGCUAACGCAUUAAGCGCCCCGCCUGGGGAGUACGGCCGCAAGGCUAAAACUCAAAUGAAUAGGCGGGG